UCAAAAUAUGAUAAUUUUCAGGUCUCAGCAACUAAAUACAUGCUGGCAUGCAGACAUAAUCAAGAGGUUCAGCUGUUUUUCAGACCAAGUAUGUGAUCUGCACAAUAGUGAAAGACACAAUAGCCUAUUCCUAAGUUUGUCCACCAAUCAGUGUCAUGUUAUUAUUAGAUUUAUAUUACCAGUUAGGUGAGUUGAGAACAGGUUCUCAUUUACAGUGAUGACCUGGCGUGUCAUUUUAAUGUCCCACUGUUGUGUCAUGAGAUGCACUCUGUGAUAUCUCUGUCUCUCUACCUCCUCAGAUCCCGAGGUUCUCCCUGUAAUGCGCGUGUUCCUCAGUCGCACAGGGACCGCUCUCUGUGAAUUGAAAGGCGGGGGUCAACACUGGAGUGAUCCUAAGUGGGAAACUGAUGAUGUCAAGCAAGGCCUGAAGUUGUUGCAGCCUGAAGCUGAAACUUUUCUAGAUGAGCACAGUGCAUUCAUACGGUCCUCCAUCCUCUCUUUGGAAGAAGGGGUCCGUGGUUUGAACUGUGUAUGUCAGCACAGCACCGGAGUUAUUAUCCGAACACGGGUCAUACAAGCUCGCAAGGAUCAAUGCCAGCUGCUGCUGUAUCUAUCUCCCUGGCUGCUGUGCUGCUGCUGGUGACUCUGACAGCCAGUGUGCUGUGGGCCUGGAGAAAGGGGAAACAGAGACCUACAGGGAAUGGACACCAAUGACAGGAUCUGAA